rnacentral:rRNA from 1 species
UACGGGGGGGGGCAAGCGUUGUUCGGAAUUACUGGGCGUAAAGGGCUCGUAGGUGGCCAACUAAGUCAGACGUGAAAUCCCUCGGCUUAACCGGGGAACUGCGUCUGAUACUGGAUGGCUAGAGAUUGGGAGAGGGAUGCGGAAUUCCAGGUGUAGCGGUGAAAUGCGUAGAUAUCUGGAGGAACACCGGUGGCGAAGGCGGCAUCCUGGACCAACACUGACGCUGAGGAGCGAAAGCGUGGGGGAGCGAACAGG